AUACGGAGGGUGCGAGCGUUAAUCGGAAUUACUGGGCGUAAAGGGUGCGUAGGCGGCUUGAUAAGUCGGAUGUGAAAGCCCCGGGCUUAACCUGGGAAUUGCAUUCGAUACUGUCAGGCUAGAGUAUGUCAGAGGUUGGCGGAAUUCCUGGUGUAGCGGUGAAAUGCGUAGAUAUCAGGAGGAACACCAGUGGCGAAGGCGGCUAACUGGGACAAUACUGACGCUGAGGCACGAAAGCGUGGGGAGCAAACAGGAUUAGAAACCCGAGUAGUCC
rnacentral:rRNA from 1 species